CUCACAACGAUAUGAAAAUACGUUCAACUUCAGCCAAGGACAAUAUUGUAUUAAUCGUGUUGGAGGGUCUUGCCCUACAGGUAACUGCGGUGGUAUAAUCGAGCUGACAGAGGACUCCCCAGAGGCCGUCAUCCAAUCUCCGAAUUAUCCGGAUCCAUAUGAUGAGUAUUCGGAGUUGUAAGGAGCCCUGGCAAUACGAAAAUUGUACUGGACUUCAUUGAUUUUGAAAUACCAAGUGGCAACACCGCUACCUCAUGUGACGAAGAUGAACUCGAAAUAGUAUUCACCUUACCUGGUCAGCCGGAUUUGCGACGAUGAGUUGUGAAAUAAAACCUCCGAUAAAGGUGCAACGUACAGAGGACGUGUGAAUUUUGCCCAAGACAUGAAGAUUUAUCUCCCGUGGCGAGACGUCAGUCACUGUCCUCAUAAUGUUUUUGAAUACAGUGACUUUUUCGAUGGGAUGGAUGAAAACUUUUGCCGGGCGCCAGGUGCUGGCUUACGUCCAUUUUGAUACACAGCAGCAGAAGGAUGUGUUCCCAACUACUGUGACGUAUGCGGUUCGUGUAACGACAUCCUUCCCGACUGUAUGGACAGGUUCUUGGCCAAUAACUCCUAUUGUCUGGAUGAUCAACAUAUAGACUCUGUAGGUACUGUUGGAUGCGCGGUAACAUGUAAUAUGUGUAGCAGGCAGAUAUCGGAGAUAGCGAUCACCAGGACGUGUACUCGGCCCAUCCUUCCUGCCCAUGGCAGUAUCCCUGCAACACUAAAGAAUGUAUAUAGUGUCGGGGAAUCUGUUCAAUCUGUGUGUACUGAAGACCAAAAUUAUUCAGUCACGCAUACGUGUACUACAGCCGGUACAUGGAACGGUCCGAUGUCGGCAUGCCAAGGAUGCCCUAAUGACUGGUCAUAUCACCAUGGUAAUUGCUAUAAAUUCUUCCAUGAAACGGCAUCUUGGAUAGAUGCUUCUCAGCAUUGUUCUACAUUUAACAAUGGCACACUGUUUAUUACUGAAAAUAUCGACUUGUGUACGAACUCAUGAAACCUGCUAAAGUCACCGUGUGGUUAGGCCUCGGAGACGCGGAAACAGAGGGAACAUUUCAGUGGCAAGAUAGAACACCACUAGAUACUACAAAGCUUGGAGCUUCCUGGAGGAACGGACAACCUGAUGACAAAGGGGGCCAAGACUGUGUGAAAGUUAAUAAGAGUAAAAAGCUUCUUGAUCAAAACUGUGAAACAAAGCUUCGAGUCUACAUUUGUCAGACAUCAUUGAAAGAAUGGCGUUCCUAACAUGUGUACUGAACACAAGAUCUUUGCUGAGUUCUCCUGUAGUCGGACAUGUGGUAUAUGUACUGCUCCAAGUGAAUGCGCCUCGAAGUAACACCAAUGAGAAAGACUAACAGACAAACUUAAGACUUCGAUACUAUUUUUUUCCUUAAUUAUAUGUGAUAUUAAAAAAAAUGUCAAUAAUUUUUAAUGUCAACAACGUAUGUAUUAUGUCUAAACAUAGUAAUUUUUCUACCUUUAAAAGCCUAGUUUACGUACAUUAUCUCAGGACUUUAUUUUACAAUGAAGUUUUGGCGUGAAAUAGUCGGUUGUUUUGUGUAAUAUUUUACGUAGAUUUCAAGAGGACGAAAAAAUCUUUAUUUCCUCUGAAGAUCAUACAUUGUACUAUUCGACUUUUUUCUCACGUUUUAUCACAUAAUAAUCCAAUUAUGUUAUGCUAUACGCCGGUGUAGUAACCUCGUACGACACACAUACACGAAAAUCAGUUGUUAAAAUACAGGUGUUAUGCUUGACUACAGUCUGUCUUACAGAGACUUUAUAAGAUGAUUUGCCGAUGAUACAUCUAGUAACUUACUUUCAAUUUGAUAUGUGAAACGAGUCAAAUAUUUUUAACGGCUCGCUAAAAUGAAACAUUCGUGACGAGUUUUAUAAACCACACACUUAACGAUGCAAAAACUCUGGUCUCUAAUAAACCAUAUAUGUGUCAGCAUAAACGAUGUAAGCAAGUGACAUAUGCUGUGUCAUGACCGCAGCUGAUACGUCACCAUUAAUCCUCCAAAUACUUUAGUAAUUCUACUUCUUUCAAUUUUACUAAUUGUCAUCAUUCAUUCCAAAUUCUUGUACUUUCCCUUCUCUAACUUUUCAGCAUUUCAUAUUGCUGUUGAUAUUUCACACUGCGGCCGUUACCCAGGACAAAUUUUAAAAAGGAAAUAGAUUGAUUUUUCCACUUUGUACUUGUUUAUCAUGUUGAAAGAUAUUGUACAUACCUGUAGUCCGUGAAUAUGCUUACGUACAUAACUUUAUAUAAGAGUCAAAUUCGAUAGCCUGUAAAUAAAGACAACACUGAGGUUUCAUCUGAAAUGUUUUAUUCCACGUUACUUUAUAUGAAUUUCGCAGAAUGUAAAGACAAAGUGUUGAGUGAUUUUGAAUUGGUUUAACAUUUCCGUCUUGACGUGAUGAUAUGAAAAGACAUAUCAUCUACAACUAAAACUAUAUAGUAAUGGCAAUAUGCUAUAAUUGAUGUUAUAAAUCAGUUAUUUGUGUAUAACCUAACCUGGAGGAUAAUUGGAUGGACCGAUCGCCUAAUUAGCUAAAACAAUGUUUAGUAUGUGAUGUUCUUAUUGUAUGACCUGAGCAAGAAAACAAGGUAUUUUAUAAACCUCAUUACUCAUUUCACCUAAAUGCCUAUUUCUUUACUGUGACUUAAGGUGGGGGUUAUUAUAUUCAAAAACAAAAUUUGAUAACAAUACAAUUAUUGUAAAAUAGGGUCGUAAAGAAAAUAAUCAUAUCAGGAAAUAAUAGGGACAUAUCAGUAAAUAACAUGCAUAUCGAAAAAUAUAAGGAAAAUGUCAGGAACAAAUAGGGACCAACUUACGUUCCCCACCUAGCACAACUUGAUGACGUAUUGAGGAAACAUUAUACUAAAUGGUCGAGCACAAACCUAGCUAAUCAAUCUGGAAGACAUACAUUAUUAUUUAAACAUGAAACCAUCAUACCUAGCUUUCAAAUUUAAUGUUCAUCUCAUGUGUAUCAUUUGCUCAAUCUUUUGAAUCAUACAAAGAAGUGUGCCGAGAAAUGGAUGACAGAUGAAAAAUACACCAACCCGUGGAUAGACAUAACGUUACAUAUCAUUUGUAAUAGUUAAUUUUUGUUUUCAGCAAAUUUUCAGCAUUUACAUCUUUAUGUGUCUCGAGAGCUCGCAAUGCAAUAAUGUAUUAUCGCCAAAUACACCCUUAAGUAAAAUAUUAAAAUAGAAUCGAUAUGAUGCAAGUAUACAAAAUAUAAAAGUUUUGAGUCUAAUUACUACCAAAACAUCAAUCUUUGUUUCUGGAUAACCACAAAACAAGCAAUGGUAUCGUUAUAUAUUUUUUAUAAUUUGGUGAAAAAGUUAUGAUGUAUCCAGAUGCACAUUUAUUGGACUUUCAAAUUAAUUAUGAUUGUUUUAAAGAUUGUCAAUAUAAUGCAUCAAGUAUUAUUUUGAAAAGUCUUGGUUUAUUUCUUUACCUAUUACCUUAUUUAUAUUACCUUGGAACCAAUAUCUUAGAAUACCUAUCACAAACGCUUGAUUUGAAAGAAUAACUAAUACUGUUCUAUUCAUCUAAUAAUGUGAUCUUAUAUGAGUAAAUUUCAUGAUAGUUUUGAAACCAAACUUUUUAUUCUUAUUACGUCUGGUGAGAGUGAAUGAGUUUUGGAGUAAAUUGAUGAGAGCAUAGUAAAUGAUGCACAAUUCUCUUUAUCAUAUCUUCGAAAUAUGGAACAAUAAUGCAUGAAAAAAGCUUUAUUGCAGACUGAUAUGAAGUAUCACAUUACAUUACUUUAGCUGUAUACUUUGAAUGUCAUUGUGAAAGAAGUUUAUGAAAUCAUCAAUUUUAGCAGUGUAUUUAUGAUCGUUGAUUCAAUGGGUACACUAAAUCCACGGAUUCAUAUGCCCACAAAGUCACAACUAAAAAUUGGAAUUAGAUUUUUGCAAUACAGUUAUCCAUGAAAUCAAGUGCCUAAGACAUUUUUUCAAAAACCAUGAACAGCGAGUCGUACGAAAAUAUAUCAUCAUAUGAUAUGGUUGAUAUGACUAUGAUGAGGUGAUGCUUUAAUCCAUGAUGCUUUCCAUAGUUUAAUUGUAUGGCAGGUAUGCUAUCCUUUGUGUUCAAUUAAAUUUGUA